CCCCUGCAACUAUGGCGUAGAAGUUAAACUAAUUUUUUUCUUUGAGCCGCUGCAUUAUAGAUCACCUCUUUAGUGUGUUGGUCAGUCAGUCUCAUGGUCAGUUGGUCUUUCAGUCGCAUCGUCGUUCAGUCCCCAAUUUUUCCCAACUCUGUUGGAGCAGCUGUGGUUGUUGUUGUUGGAGCUGCUGUAUUUAUUGUUUGGAGAUCUGCCUCCACUGCAAGUAUGACGUAGAAGUUAAACUAAUUUUUAUCUUUGAGCCGCUGCAUUAUAGAUCACCUCUUUAGUGUGUUUGUCAGUCAGUCUCAUGGUCAGUUGGUCUUUCAUUCGUAUCGUCGUUCAUUACCCACUUUUUCCCCACUCUGGCCAGCCACAGUUAUGGCCGUCUGAGGCUGAUAUUUGGCCUGACUUUUAUUCUGAGAACAACUGAGUCAUUCUUGCAGCAUUCAUCUAAAGGUUUUAUCCAGAUAAGAGUUGACGGAAUAGACACAUCUACAUCUACAGACUGAAAGUAGGCUGUCAACUUUUUUGGAAAUGGCCCAGAAAAGACAGCAGGAGUCAGGAGCAGAGUAAAGAAAGAAGAAACUGGUCAGUGCUGAGAUAAGUACAAGGAGGAACACGUGGCCAAGAGGAAGAAACAGAUGAUGAGCAACCAUCGACAGACAGUUCAGGCACACAUCAACCCCAGUCGGCCAGCAGUUCUGUAGACUCCACAACAGUUCCAAGCCCUGAUCAACCACCCUCAACCAGCAGUUUAGGGACAGACACACAGCAGAGA